CCUGACAUGGUGGCAGCCAUCUCGUGACCUAAAGGGGCCUAGCUAAUGCAACUCAAGAUAAUACACCUUGGGGGUGUAUUAUCUUGUGCAGCAUUUAAGUCAACUCUGCUCUGCAUGGGUAUGUAGUAGAGACAAUUAAGUCGAUUUUAAAAAGUUAAGUCAGCUUAAUGGUCAGAAAGUUAGCAAGUGUGUAUGCACCCCUAUUGAGGAAAUAAAUUAAUUGGAAGAGCUUUGGGACUACCUGCCAGCCAGACCUACCCACCUGGAAAUGGAGACAAAGGGGCUCAGGAAGGUAGGUGGGAAUAUGAGGGCGGGGAGGAACUGGUCAUGCUUAGAGAAUUGGAUCUGUGGGUUGUCUACCUGUUUAUUGUCAGCCAGGCUGAUCCCUUUAAAUCGGGAGGGUUAUUAUACAUCGAAUACAUAGAUAUCCCCACAAUCAAUAAAUGAAUGUCACUAUGGUAUUUGUUGCACUUGGAUCAUCUUUGUGCUUGUUUCAAACAAAUUCUGGAUGUUGCAAUAAAAAAGAUUGUGAGAAGCUUGGUCAACACCUGGCAGGAACAGAACGUCCAUCUUUUAGAAAAAUGUAUUUAAUCCCUUGAGUAGCCCAGGCAAGAUCUAUGCUGCUGUUAUAUGUCAGAAAAUGGCAUACAGUGCAAAUACAGAGAUAUAAACUCUAUAAUUAUUCAAUGUUGUGUCAAGGUGUCCGAUCUCUUUUCCCUGUCAAAUGGAAAGAGUACUUAGUCUUGUUAUCAGGGGCCUGUUACCUUAACAGGGUGUGUCUACAUGUGCAAUUAAUGUGACUGAAUAUACUCUGGCUUAAUUUGAACCUGAGUAAACUAAUCCCAAUGUCACCAUCUACACGUGUUGAAGCACAGUAAUUUACUGUGCAUAGGCUAGUACUGUGGCAUAGGCUAGUACAUGUGUCUGAUGGGACUAUCAUACAAUGGAAUAAAUUAAUCUACUGUAUGCUAAUGGUGGUACAUGUGUAGACCAUGAUGUUUACUGUGUAUUAAAUUAGUGUGAUGCCUAGUAAAGCUCAUGCAUAGACACACCCACAGAAAGUUACUGAUAAAUACACUGAAAACGCACUGAAAUAGCUUUUCCAAGAGCCUAGGUGCUGCUCUGGAGUUUUGUGUGUGGAGUCUAGUAUUAAAUAACCACACAGGGCCCAAAUUAUGUAUUUCUUUCCUUUUAUCGUUGUUUUCUCCUUUGAUUUUAUCCCCAAAUUGAAAGGCUAUGGAAUGUGUGUGUAUAUAUUUAUUUAUAGAUAUCUAUCUAUAAAGUACCAGUGAUGAUAAUUUCCUGUUUCUGUUUUUCAUGAUGAGUGAGCACAAAGCAUGUGAUUUCAUGUUUCACUUCUCUUUGGAGGACUUUUACAUUUUUUACAGGAAAAAAUAUGCCGCUAACUCUGAAUCCUGUUUUCAUCCAGACAGUGACAGGAAACUUCAACUACAUGGUAGUCUGCAGCUGUGAGCCACGGUUGACAUUUAACAGCAAGUUCUUAAACUUUCUAAAGCUAAAAGCCUACUACUGGAUUAUCAAAAGAGAGAAGGAAGGGCGAUCUCCAAGUGCAAGAAGAGAUGUGGUAAAAGGAAGCAAAAAAGAGUGCAAGGAAAGAACGUUAAGGAAGAAGGACUGAGAACAGAAAUAAGUGAUGCUAUUGACCAUAAUGGACAACUUUGAUUUGCAUGUAUUGUGUGCACUGUAUAAAAUGAAGUCAAGGGCUCAGUAGUUAUAACAUGUUUAUCAUUUGUGGCAUUAUGACCCUUCAAAUAUUUUCAAACUAUUUGGCAAAAAAGGACAUAUAAGCAAUUACACAUUUUUGUGUAAUUCUACAAUACACAAUUGUGCAUUUCUACAAACAUUUUCUUCGUUCUGCAACAGUUGUCUGCAACAAGAUCUGCUGUGUUCUGGGGUCAAGAUCAGUCUCUCUAAAUGCCUUUCUUCAGAAUCUUUGUUUAGAUAGGUACAUGUUGUUAAGCCUACACACAAGAGUAGUAUUGUGAAGUUUCAUUAAGGAAAAAUGCUGAAUCCAUGAAUGAAAGAUGUUAUGACUUGUAAACUGAUACUGGAAUUAGUUGUCAACUUGGUUGUAUAUUACCGCCAAUUCUGAACCUGACAAAGGCAUUUAAUUAUGCAUGUAUAUCCUGUACAUUUCUAAUAGUAAAGUUAGUUCAACUCAAUUUCACAAAGGAAUUCAGGAAAAUUAGGGGGACCAUAAAUACAAAACUGGGGGCCUUCACAAAAUUGGAAAAAAAAACAGAUGAUACAAAACUGCUAAUAUUUCAACAAGAAGUAACUUGCUAGUGCCCAAGUUUAUCAAUAAAUGCAGACCCUUUUAUUUAA